UGUAAAAUUGCUGGGCCACGUGUUUCUUCACAUUUAACUUUUGGAGGAAGUUGCAAAUUGUUUUCCAGUGUGCCUGCACCAUUUUAUAUUCCCAUGAGCAAU
rnacentral:pre_miRNA from 1 species